rnacentral:lncRNA from 1 species
UUAGAACCCAUUUGCAGAAAAUGAGGAAUCACAGCAAAGGUCGAUGAGGAUUUUGGGAAUGAACACUUGGGAUCUUGCUCUGGAAUUAAUGAAUUUUGAUUGGAGUCUAUUCAAUUCAAUUCAUGAGCAAGAGCUGAUCUACUUCACGUUCAGCAGACAGGGAAGUGGGGAACACACUGCAAAUCUCAGCCUUCUGCUCCAGAGAUGCAAUGAGGUCCAGCUUUGGGUGGCCACGGAGAUUCUGCUCUGCAGCCAGCUGGGCAAGCGAGUGCAGCUGGUGAAAAAAUUCAUCAAAAUUGCGGCUCAGUAAGUUUCUAGUGUGAGAAGUGCCAUUCCUCUAGUCUUCUUGAGAGAGUACAUUGUUCUUCUUUCUUUU